CAUUUUUCCAACUGAUAGAUGUAAAGCAAUACUGUUCUGGAGGAGCUCAUCAAGGUCAUUUUCCAAGCAAUUAAGUUUCUCCUUUUUAUCCUUUCUGCUGUGGGAGUGCAUUCCUGAUUUCUCUCGUUUGGGAACAAAAUAUAACAUGGAGAGAAACAGCCUUAUUCUUGGAUACUUCUUACCUAUUUUUAUUGUGCUAACAUUGUCUGUUUGCUUAAGUACUCUCUUCCUUUCCUUAUGUUAUGUCCCAGUGUGUUUACCUACAGCAAUUGUAUCCCUGCUGCACUAAUUUAUCCUUAUUUUGCUAGACUAAACAAGCCAAUGUCCUUUAUCUUCUCAGCUAGCAUAGCUGCCUUUUUUGUAUUCCUCUCCUGCAUGCACGGGAGCAGCUAGAUGUGCAGAUACUGUGCAGACUGAAUCUCUCCCAAGCCUCGUCAACUUUAAAAUUCCCUUUUCACACCAAGAAAUAAAAAAAGGAUUAAUUGUGCCUAUAAACUCUUCAUACUAUUGCUAUUGAUACUAUUGCUGUUAUAUCAAUAACAAUAAACUAUACAGUAUCUCCUGUUCCUAUAGUAAUCAACUGAUGCAUUUAGUUCUUUUCUUGCAGUGUACCCUGAAAAUACAUCUAGGCUGUCAUACUGUGAGGCCACAGUACUUGUGGCUACAAAAGUCUUGAUGCAGACAGAGUUGAUCUAGAAAUGAGGUGCCAUUUUUCUGGUAUGGCUUACGUGCCCAGAGAGGCGGUGGAGGCCCAUCCCUGGGGUCAUUCAAGGUAAGACUGAAGGGGGCUCUGAGCACCUGUAGAUGUCCCUGUUCAUUGCAGGGGAGUUGGACCAGAUGACCUUUAAGGGUCCCUUCCAACUUAAACGAUUCCAUGAUUCUAUAGAAAUAAUGGACAGGAAAUUGAGUAGAACUGUAUCAGCAAUGAACUUAAGUGUUGUUCCUUCUCUUGUGAAUGCAAGGCACUGAUAAAUAUUAGGAGAAAAGCCCUAAAAAGAGUAGCAAUACCUGGGACUACAGCAGGAUCUGGGGACCAAAGGCUGGCUCAGAAAGUUAUUAUUUGAACUCACCUAGUGCUCGGACUUUAAGCAAAUUCAUAGAACUCCACAGUGAGAAGUUUCAAAAACACCAGAAACUCCUUCUCCCCACCAAAAUGUCCACUUUAACGUCUGUAAAUAUCUUUAAAUGCUUUUUAAAUUAUUAUUAUUUAAUAUAUAUAUGUGUGUCUGACUAUAUCAUUAUUCAACUUCCUCAGAAAAUCAAAACAAAUGAAAAUAAUUGGAAGUAUUUGUGGAAAAGGGAAAAGACUGAGAAGGGAACACCAACCAGUAACAAAAAAUGAGCCAUUACAGAGGACAUUCUGUUCCUCCAAUGACUCUCAGUACCUUGAAGUAGCAUUGAGAGGCUUCCUUUGCUUCUGAAAGAGCAGAUUCUUUGAAACACCUAGGACAAGGGCAAGCAGACUCUUGAUGUUAGCCCACACUGGGUCAACCUGGCAUAUUUUUUCUUUUCUCCUGGGAACAGAUGUUUUUGAUUGUGACAAGUCCUGUUUUUCUACAUAGUAUUUCAGGACUGAAGCAGACUUUUCAGAAGCAAGGAUUCAGAUCUGUAUUUCUUUAAAGGACAGCUGAACAUCCAUCAUGAAGACAUUCAUCAGGCAUUCCACCACUUUGUAUCCCUGCUUCAGAUGAAAUUAGCCAGCACUGGCUCCUGGCAUGCAUCUAAUCUGGACAUUACCUGCAGAUUGUUGAGCUGCUCACUGAGUUACCAGGUUCAUCUGCUCCUGCUCUCAGACCCUGGCUUGUGCAGCCAGAGAGCAUGUGGGAGUCUGCACAGGCAGGAGCUGUGCUGCAGCAGUUUGAGGUGAGGGAGACUUGAGUGAGAGCAGCAGAUCAGUGCCAGGAUUGUGCCUUAUAUGGCUGCUCGACGCCUGCAGUGCAUCUCUUGGUAUACAGCUUAUGGUAAAAGCCUUCAGGUUCUGUGUUCUUCCACAGCUGUAUAUCAACUGCUGUUUCUUGAGCUUUGCACACUGAGCUGUGCUGAGCGUGGGCCAAAAAGAAGUUGGUUGCUGGGAGUCACAGCUAUUGAACAGCCAGCCCUCAGACAUGCAAAAUGCUGCCAAAAUCCCUCCUGCGUCAGCGACUGCCUGAGGUGGCCAGUGCUAGCCAGGAGGCCUCCUCCAGUGGCUGGCUGCACGUCCCCAUGCAGGUGGCCAGUCUCUGCCAUUCCGGAGCAAGGAGGGCAGAGUGCUCACAAGAUGUGGUUCCCCAUGGAGAUAACAUGUUGCCAAGGUCAGGCUGCAUCUUAUAUCAGGCCCCUUGCAUCAGAUCACUUUGACUGAGAACAUGCUCCUGUUUGCAGGGAGAAAAUGUAAUCUGUAUCUGGACUGUGGUUAACGCUGAGCGCCAGGCUGUGAAUGCUGCCGGUGUACUGUUUGCUUUAAACACCACCUAUUUUUGUCUUCAGGGCUCCUUUUUUAACCUUUCCAGAAAAUGCUGCUGUUGGCCACUAUCCACUACUCUGCUUCUUUGGGGGCUCACCUAUAGUGAAUCACUCUCAGAGAAUGGCCCUGUGUUUAACUGCUGGACGCUGCUUUUCUGCAAGAAAGGAUUUGUAAGCUGCAAGUAUUUGCAGCUCUCCAAACCCACAAAAAUAAUGUUUGUCAGUGCUCUAGAGAUCAAUGUUUAAACCGGUCUAGUGCAAUCAGAAGGAUGUUUUGAUUUAUUAGUAAUGCAUUUUAAAAGCAAACAAAUUAGUUUAUAGAUACUUAUAUAAUUACACUCACACACACACACACAUAUAUAUACAUAUAUGAGAGACAAUUAGAGAUGUAAAUAUGUUAGGCAACUUUGGUAUAAUUAAGUUAUGUCUUUGAAAAAAUUCGUCAUACAGUUGUGAUUGCAUGAGGUUCUCAUUGAAGAUUACUAUAAGCAGACAUUUUUAUAAAUAAUAUUUGAGGCCUCAAAUAAAACUUCUUUGUUUCCUGCCUCAAGCAUCUGCCAAAAUAUUUUUGAUUCUUGGGAGACUUGAAAAGUGGAAAGUUUUCUCCAGCCCUUUGGUUGUACUGCUACCAGACUGUGCAGUUGGAUUUGUUGCUUCUUGGUUCUCAAUCAUAUCUGAACCAUGUGCUUCCUUCUCAUCCAUUCUUGAGCCCUGCUCGUGCCAUGAACAGUGGGUGUUCGUACAUUUUUGUUACUACUGUAAGUUCUGCUAUAAAUUGUCCCUUGAAAAUAUCAGUGCUGUCUCAACAUUGCUUUUAUUGCACAGUAGAGCCUGAGCUGUUUUUGUUUGCAGCCCCCAAGAUCUUUUGAUGCAGAUAGUGCAGUUUCUAGCCUUUCUGUGCUUGUUAAAACAUAAAUAUAUGUGUGUUAUGGGAACAUCUUAAGGAAAAAAAAGGCUGUUGAGUGAUACAUCCAGAAAUGAAGCCACCUAGGGUUAUGUAAUGAGCAUCAAGGCUUGCGUGCUCGUGGCCAGCUACUUGGACUUUGAAGUUGGGGUAACAAAGCAAUGAAAGUAUGCUCAAAUUAGUUGUUAAAUUGUUAAGCUAAAAGGAGAUUAAUUAAAACAUCAUAAAACACUGUUCUUGAAAAGGAAAUGGAGAAGGCACUGACUUCUUGUUUUUACAGCAGAUUUAGUACAGUGAGUUAGUGAUGAAGAGUUAUGACCACAGCAAAUUCCUGGAGGGAAGAGUCUUUAAACAUAACAACAACAAAACAACAGAAACAAGGGAUUUCCGAGUAUGCAUUUUACAGUAGCCUUCAGAGGUUUAUAGUCACGUCUAAAUCAGAUGCUAGCAAAAACUUGCUAAAUAUAAUAUGCGUGAACAUAUAGGCUUGUCUGGAAAUUCUUCAAGAAAAAUGGAUGCUCUGUGGGGUGAAAUGCAUCAUCACUGUGUCUAUUCACUUUUAAUAUUUUUUUUACUUCUGAGGGAAUAUAACGAUGCUUUAGUAAGUGCUCUUCUAAAACACUGUGUGAUAUUCUCUAGCUAGAGGUGGGAUGGGCUGCUGUAACAAGUAGGAAGCAUCUAAAAUCAAGUUAUAAUCAAAAAUGCUUCUUUUGUGUUUGACUUGCUGCUGUCUUCCAUUCUGCAGAAUGAAAGCAAUUUUAUGCAGUAUCUCCACUUCUAAGUUAUUGCAGGGGAGGCUUAGGUAAAUCGCAGUGUAGGACUUACUCUUUAUUAACAGCAAUUUUAAAAGUACUUUGCCCAGUGUGAUAAAUUAUGUGUCUCUGCAGAGGCACUGUGGAGUAGAGUAGAAACAGUGGUAUAAAGCCACUCCAGCAAUUCUGACUUUCUUUUCUGUUUUAUAACAUUUGUGAUAAUUAAUUGCAGACUGUAUAUAAAAUAAUGUAUAAAAGGAUAAGUGAAAUCUCCAUCUAUCCCAAAGCUGAGCUGUAGUUGUAGUUGCACUGCAGGCGCAACUGAUUAUGCUCAAUGCCAAACUGUUUUGAUUCUGUUUGUUGUACCCCCAGAAGGGUGCAAAGAAACAGAAAAUAGGGUGAAGGCAGCUGUUUCAGGCUAUCUGCACACUGCUUAUAAGAGACAAACUUCUGCUCUGCCAGAAAAAAAUCAGCUGCUGGAAUUAUUUUAAUCUCUUGUGCUGAACUUUUACACUUUAUUUUGAAUUUUCCACUGUUGCUGCCUUGAAUAUGGCAUAUAUUUCACAUUUCUUGUCCCUGUUUGCUCUCUCUGCGUGUCCAGCCAACUUAUGCCUAAUUCCAUGUCUCUCUCAGCAGCUUUCAAAGAGAUGGUGAGAAAUGACUUGAUGCAGUUUAGAGGCUGUAAAAAUUUUUUAUUCACUGAUUCUCAUAGAUUGUUCUGAGAGCUCUGGCCAAUGGGUGAUAUGGAAACACCUAGAAUUUAUAGAUUAUUAUUCUUAGCAGAUUUUUGGAAUAUGAAUAUCCUUUUUAAAAUAAACUCACAGCUAUGCACAUAUGCCAUUAGAGUAGAACAGAGCAAGAUAACCUUGCGCUGAGUCUCUGUGUCACCCUGCUCUUACAUGUAAAUUCUCUUGUUAUAAUCAGUUGCUUCUCACAGCCAUCAUGAGGAUUCAUUUUUUGAUGGCAUUCACCAAUAAGUGUUAUUUAUGUGUGAUACCCCAAGAAAAAGUAAUCUCAUCCUUUCUGAAUCUCUUGGCUUUCCUCUGGUGUGAGUUUAGCAAUUGCAAGUGACAUUCGAAGUUUAUAGAACAGUUCUUGGUUUUACAGGAACAAAACGUCAUGGAAACACCACCUCUCGACUCCAUCCCCGGUAGCAAUAGUAAAUAUUUGAUCAGUGUGUACUUUCCAUUCAGCUCAGCAUCUCUGGGCUGACUUUUUGGAGAAGUCUUACAUUUGCAUUAGUAUGAUCACACAGUGACAAAGUGGACCUUCCCAAAGUACUUCAGUGAGCUGCUGUAGAAAAAAAAAUGCAGGGAAGACAUGGAAAGACUUGAAUAAGAUGAAACCAUGAGGUCUUCUUGUCUCUAUAUAUCUUUAAGGUGGAUAACAAAGUGGGGCAAGUCAUCCUUGCUUUGUCUGAUUUUUCCUCUGGAUUUGUACUGGUCUUCUUAGGAAAGUUACAGAAGUACCAUGUUCUGAAUCUUGCUGUUCUUUAUGAUUUAAAAUCAUUCUGUCUUAGGAGUAAUCAAACCUAUGGCUCGUAAGCAAUUUGUUGCUCCCAUAUUGGCAUCUGAGUAGCAAAGGCACCCCAACGGGCGACUGUGAGUUUUGCAGCUCCUCAGCUGUGAAGUGCAGCACAGCAGGAGCCACUGGGCUUGAUUGACAUUGCUCAUUUGCUCUUUAACACAGCUGCCUGCCAAUUUUACCAGGAAACGUCUCUGAAUCUUAACAGCUCUAGUUGCUGUGUGCCUGUGGUAUACUCUGGGAUUUCCUUUGCUAGCUCUUGUUCCUGAAUAAUACAGAUGAUUGAUGUUUGCCUGCUUUGGGGUGCUGCAAGAUGUUAAACUGUCUGAGAUCAUAUAAUAUCUCUGAUACUGAAGGAAAGGCCCUGUUUUCUUGACCCUGCACUGAGUUUCAUCAGGACAUCAGAGGCGCCUUUACUAAAUAUCCUGGAUCAUGUCAUAAGGGACACAUCACAUCAACAAUAACAAGGCGUUCCCUUAUCCUUCCCUCCUGUCUGCGUGUUCACUUGGACCACCUUGCUUGGCUUUUCAACUGGCAUUUUAUGCCCUGAUCAUUCAUCAGUGUAGACUGCUCCAUGUGUUCAUUAUGGUUCUGCAGACAGCUAUACUGUUCCAUGGGACCACUGCACAUCUAUCCAUUGGUAAUCAGUGGAAUGCUGAGGAUUUUCCAUUUUUGAAGAUGUUGGAGGUAGGCUACAGUAUUACAGAUUGGAUUUUGGAGUACUGCAUAGACUUUUUUGCAGAACAAGUUUGGCAGCAUUUGAUUCAAAGAGUUAUUGAUUUGUAUCAAUAGCCAAAGUUGCCUUCCACUAGCUCUCUGCCAUUAGUAAAGGCUGCCCUCCUUGUCCUUUAUGGAUAUAAGACUUGUUUAGAUCUUGAUUCUCUUUUACUAUUUUAUGUCAAAUAGGUCUGCUUCUAGACCUUUUUUACCAUUCAUUAGAACAAACACUGGUAGGAAAAGUACUACGUCUGUGAAUAACACUCUAUUAAGUUUAACUUACAAAGUUGAGUUAGUUAACUCAGAUUCUCACGUUCCUAAGAGCUCUGUCAAUAACCUAGUGGAGAUGUUGGGGCUAAAGGAUGACAAUGAGUUGAAAUUUGAAAAAAAUGAGUAAAUUGCUGGUAUUUUCACACAAUCUGGUAUUUUAGCAGAAGUAAUGAUUUGGAUUUGUGUCUCAUAGAUUUUGUAAAAUAUACACCUACAAAGAUUUGUUAAGUAAGCUAAUUUCUGUUUCAAGCCAUGGAGGAAUAGGUUUGCUAUGAUGUCUCCCUCCUUCAUCUUGUCAUGCACUGAAUAAUUUGUGGGAAUUAAGAAAAAGCAUUUAGCCCCAGUGCCUGGCAUACCCUGGGGUGCAGGUGCUGCCUCACGUGCAUUUGGAUUGCUUACAGGCAGAUCUAUCAGUAUGAGCCUGAGGCUCCAACCAACUAUCUGGAAUGUAUGUUGCCAGAUAUGAUGAUUGUACAGUCCUUUGGAUGGUGAUGACUUGCCCUAUCAUACAGGGCAGCGAUGUGAAGGUAUGAGAAAUGGGUGUUGCAUAAACAUUCUGUUCCUCUGACAAUCAAAUCUGUCAGUGCUCUGCUGCCCAUUGUGUUGUCAUUGAAAUGGUUGUAUACAUAAAGUAGUCAAUGCGACCAUUGAAGUUUGCUAUGCAUUGUUAAUGAAAGACUUCUGGAGAUGGAAUGUGUAAGUAUGUAGGGAGGUAAUCUACUGCAUUUUUUGCCUUCCUCAGUGUUUAUUCAAAUCUUGCUGUUAUAUCUAUUGUUAUAUGAUAAAAAAACAAAAGGUACAGUUAUGGUCUUUUGGAUCUGAAAACAGUUUUGAAAGCUUUGAAUUCAGAAUCAGAUCAAAGUUGUGAAUAUAACGAGGCAGUCUUUGCUAGAAUGCUCAUUGGUUGCAACCUUCUAAAUGUAAUUAAAAAAAUGAAGUUGAUCUCCCUUUCCUGUUUUAAUUAUGUCACUGCAACUUCCAGCUGACAUUGUAAUGGUAAGGGGUACUUACUGUGUUUUUUUCCUGAAAUUGAAGUUUCUCAUGAAAUCUUUCCAUGACCAUUUCAGAUAGUUGUGAUGGAAACAAUAAUUCUGCUUUGCUCACAUUUGAAUGUGUUUAAAUACAGAGCAUUUUGGCAUACAAAACAGUAUUGCAAGGGCUAAUAUCUCAGCUCUUUUUACAUACACUGUUGAAUACGCAAACGCACACAUCUUGAAAUCACGCAAAUGUGAAAAUCUGCAAUUCAGAACCUAAGCUGCUUCAAUAAAGAGACAGGCAAAAUUUUUCCUUUAAAUCUAAAUGCAAAGUACCUUCAUGCUGCUAUUUUAGGAAGCAAAAUUACUAACUACUUUUUACAAAGGAAGCAUCUCUCUUCUGUGCUUUAGUAAUGAUUAGUAAAUGGAUGUGCAGAAAGCUCUGUAUGAAAUUAGACAAGCAUGAAUCUGUGCACUCCAAUCUUUUUAAUACAUGUUCCCUAAGACCUCAACAACUAAAGCUAAUGCUCCCUCAGCUCCAUUGAACUAAUUAAGUUAGGUCGUUAUGUUAAUAAUGGGCUGCCCUUCUGCCUGCAUUUAUAGCACUUAGUGAGUCAGUGUGUGUGUGUGGAUGCUUACUGCGUGAAGGAGAAAGCUUCUGUCAGUGAAUUAGAUUAAUCCAUCAAGGGAAUUAAUGUGACUUGAUUACUGUUGAUAUAUGUGAAGAAGCAGGCGUGCACGAACUUGACACAAAGAGAUAUCUGCAGCUGUAGGAAGUAAGAAACACUUCAAAACAUUAGGCAAGGGCUAUGAGCCUCUACAGUUGAAUAAAUGGGUUGCUGAUGCCAAGAUGUGCUGAUGAUAGGCUGCUGAUGUGACAAAUGCACAGGGUGUCAUGGGAUCCUAAUGUUGCUAUCAAGCAUUCAGUUUAACUCAGUUGUGUUGUUGAUGUUUUGCUACAGAGUUCUAAUAACACCUGUCGGAUAAAAUGUUUCCCCAGAUUAGUUUUCAGUUCUUUUGCUUUCUGAAGGAGAAGAAAUGCUUGAAAAUCAAUUAAGAAAAACUUUGCAGUCAUUUCCCCACAAAAAUAAUAAUAAUAAUAAAAUAAAAUUAAAAAAAGAUCAGCUGUACUUUGGACAUUGUUUGGUUGUUCUCUAGUCUUGCCAAUUAUUUCAUCAGCCACUUCAUCUCCUUCUGUUCUGCUGACUGUGUGCCGUGUCUAAGGUUGCUAAUGGUUUGGAAGUUCCCAACUACUGAAAUGUGGUCCCUUAAGCCGGUGAUAACUGGCUGAGAAGAAAACGCUAGAUUGGCAAAUAUUCUUUUGUGUUAUAAAUAUUAAAACAUAAUGAAGGGUUGAUAGCUGGGGUGAAGGAAAAGGCAGAAUUGCUGAAGCGGAAAUUUAUAAGAAUAACAAAUUUUAUUUCUGACAGAGAUAAAUAUGCAUGUGGGCUUCUUUGUAUGAUAGAUACAAUGGUUGGAAUGUAACAUAAAACCAAGCCAAAAUAAUUGCAAGUUUUUGAAAUGAUCUGAAUGCUGCUUCCUAAAAGGUGGUGGGCAGUAUUAGAAUUUCAGUUAUCAAGAACAAAG
ensembl:lncRNA